rnacentral:tRNA from 1 species
CAGAAAAUAGUUUAUUUUAAAAUAUUAAUUUUGGAGAUUAAUGAUAGAAUUUUAAUUCUUUUUUUGA